UACGUAGGUGGCGAGCGUUGUCCGGAUUCAUUGGGCGUAAAGCGCGCGUAGGCGGCUCGGCAAGUCGGUCGUGAAAUGCCGGGGCUCAACCCCGGGACUGCGUCCGAUACUUCCGGGCUGGAGGUAGGUAGGGGAGAUCGGAAUUCCUGGUGUAGCGGUGAAAUGCGCAGAUAUCAGGAGGAACACCGGUGGCGAAGGCGGAUCUCUGGGCCUUACCUGACGCUGAGGCGCGAAAGCUAGGGGAGCGAACAGG
rnacentral:rRNA from 1 species